AGGCAAGAACUGACGCCCAGACUGAUGAGACAGACGCACACGCUCCCAGCCUUGAGGAGCCGUCUAACCUCCCAGGGACUUGAUUAAAAGGUUGCUGCUGUGCCCGUGGCUGGCCCACUGUGCCGCGUGUGGCACCACCUUCCCGGGAAGGACUCUUCCUCUUCAGAACAAUGGGCAGCUAGAGAGUCUUCCCCAGGAUCCUGACCUGCAAUCUGUUGGAGACUGGACCUGACUGUUGGCCUUCUGUUCAAGCUCCACUCCCACAGUUACCUGGCAACAGCCAGGUGUGCCUGACCUCGAGUUGCACAGUAACUACGGUAUCCACCUUUUACUGACUGUUUAAGAGGAGCGUUAGCAAAAAGUCAGCUUUAGAUGACCCCAGGGCAUCAGCCACCUGGAUUCAGUUCCCAGGAGUACUUGGCACAUGGGCCCUAAUGAGCUAGGUUUGCUGAGAAAGACUCAACUGUCUCAAGCACAGCCUGCCAGUCUCCGGUCUCAAGACCACAGCUCAUCAUGGCCCAGAUCCACGAGGGACAGAAUCUUCCACACACUGAGCCCCACACUCUGGGCCACACGGGGCCAUCUGGACAGCCAGGCAUCGUGUGAGCAAGCCUCAGGGCCUGGAGCCAGGUACCCUACCCAGGCCCCUCCUUCCAGAACCAGCCCUGUCCACCCUCCUCAGCCACAACCCUCCCACUUCAGGACUAUGGAGCAGCUGGAGGAGGAAACUCCACCCUGAGUUUCCAUUGUUUUUACAAAAAAGCCAAAAGGGAAGGAUUGAAAUGGGAACAGUGGCCUCUGGAGACUUGUGACUUCUUCAUGAAACCCUUAUGAUUCGAUUGGCCAGGAGGACUCCUGGGGUGGGGUCCUGGCCAUCUGCCCUCAGCUCCUCCUCAGUCUCCUGCUCUGUAGGCUCAGGAGCAGGACUGGAUGGGACAUCUGAGUAUCAAAAGGAGAAAGAAACCCCAGACUUCAGAGGUAGGGCCAUGCCCAGAAACCCCGACCCAGGAUUCCUGGCCUGUAGCUCCCAUGACAUAUAGCUGAGGUUCUGAUUAGAAAAGCUGCCCUGUCACUUCCAUGGUCACAGGGGUCCUGUUGGACGCCCUCCUUGUGGAAAUCCAGACCGUCAAGCUGGCUAGCUGGGACCUCCAUGAAUUCCCUGAGCUGUGAGUGGUCAGUGUCUUUCUCGGCUUCCUAUGAGUCACCACUAGGCUGGGUAGGAAGCAGUUCUGGGAGGGGGGCGUUCCUCCACCCUCCCCAGAUGGCCCAGGGGAGCUGGCCUCUGAGCCCUGUGAACUUGGGGAAUGUACUGCUCCCUCCCUAGCCCAGCCCAGCCCAGCACCUCCCGGUUCUCUGCCUGCCUGGGCUCAGCCUGUGGAGCCUUUCAGCUUCUGUCUCUGCUACUGGGGAGGUCAAGUGACUGGGUAGUGUUGUCUCAAAGUGGGGUCUUCCUGCCAACACCUCAUCUGGAGAAUGUCAAAGAGGAAAGACAAAGCCAUUAGGCGUCCUCUGGGAGGUACGGGUGGGCAGUCCCAAUGGCAGCCCCUGGACUCUUGCUCAUUGUAGCAUCUAUUAAACUUCAAACUGGGGGUUCUACCCCACCUUGGAUCAUUCAGUUCCCAGAUCAAAGACACAUUUUAUAUUUAUCACAGGCCUUUAAUGCGCUAGUGCUGGGCAGAUAUCUAUCCUGGAAGCUAUUAUUCUUACCUCCCUAUCAAUAAACUGGGUUAUAACCACC
rnacentral:sRNA from 1 species